rnacentral:lncRNA from 1 species
CCCCCUUUUAUUUUGUCUUUUAUCUCUCAUCUUUUUACUGUUAUCCAUCAUUCUCUAUCUUUGUAUUUUAGCAAGUCUUAAGUCUCUAGUCUAAUCCUUGUUUUUUUUUUGUGUGUUUUUUUCUUCCUUAAUCUGUAUUCUUUAAAAACCCACUCCACAACCUCAUUUGCGGCAUGGUAUUGAACACAAAUGCUUGAUAUUUCGCCAUACAGUUAUAGAUGUUGAAUUCUAUGAUAUUCAUGGUAAUUGUCUGGAUAAUUUUAAUUUGUAAAUGAAACGUGAAG